rnacentral:rRNA from 1 species
UACGUAGGGGGCAAGCGUUGUCCGGAAUCAUUGGGCGUAAAGCGCGUGUAGGCGGCCCGAUAAGUCCGCUGUGAAAGUCCAGGGCUCAACCCUGGGAUGCCGGUGGAUACUGUCGGGCUCGAGUCCGGAAGAGGAGUGUGGAAUUCCUGGUGUAGCGGUGAAAUGCGCAGAUAUCAGGAGGAACACCAAUGGCGAAGGCAGCACUCUGGGACGUGACUGACGGCUGAGACGCGAAAGCGUGGGGAGCAAACAGG